rnacentral:sRNA from 1 species
GGAUGAUAACGUUGCUGGAUAACGUUGCUUUAGCAACGGCCCGAAGGGCGAGCCGCAAGGCGAGUAAUCCUCCCGGAUGCACCA